rnacentral:rRNA from 1 species
UAGGGAAUCUUCCACAAUGGACGAAAGUCUGAUGGAGCAACGCCGCGUGAGUGAAGAAGGGUUUCGGCUCGUAAAGCACUGUUGUAUGGGAAGAACAGCUAGAAUAGGAAAUGAUUUUAGUUUGACGGUUACCAUACCAGAAAGGGACGGCUAAAUACGUGCCAG